GUAUGAUAGUGAGAGGAGCUGAGACAGUAGCAGAGCGAACCAGAGGCAGGGACGAGGCGGUGAAGGAGCAGCUCUCCUCCUGAGCCUCCAUCCCAGAGAAGACAGAGCGGCAGCAGAGUCCCUCCUCGGCUCAACGCUUCAUCCCCCUGCAGCUUCUGAAGUUCACACCGAGACGCCCGUCGUGAGGUCAAAAGAACACGAUGUACUGAGAGUGUGAGCUGUGACUGAACCUGCCAAGACUGACUGUCCUGAACACACAGAGACACGAGGAGGGCUGAGAGAGGAUUCGAUCCUCGACCAGCGGGGGUCCAUGGGAAUCUAAAGGUGGGGAAUCAACCACCGUGGCAUUGAUGGGAAACAGCCUGCAUUAUUUAAAACAGCAUAUAAAGGCAAAGUUGUGUUUCAAUAGAUUGCUGCCAUCCUCAAUUGUGCCUGAGGGUGUGUGUGCGCCUUUUUCCUGUGCUGCAAAACCUCACAUUUUCCAAAAUGUCAGAAUGAUCGGUGAAAUAAGCCAGCACAGCCUCAUUUUCAUUUUGACAGCUGUGUAGUUUUUUGGGGUUUUUUUUAUUCUGUAAAUUAUGCAAUGGCUUUCAUGAAUCCUCGAGUUUUACAAGGUCACACAAUCCUCCGGUUCAGGUAAAAAAAAACAACAUGGAAAUCAUCAACAUCGCCAUAAUGGAUUUUUUCAUCUGACAGCUGCAAUAAUGUAGCAUGCUUGUGUACAGUAGAUUUAACAUAUGAGUGUUGUGCUACUUUAUCUACACCCCCACAGGCUACACUUUGAUUUUCCUGUAAUAAAUAAUGCUCUUUUGUGUUCUGUGCUUCAUUUGUUCCCUGUUGUAACCUCAGAGCUGCUCAAUAAAUUAUGAAUUACGCCAGUUCAACCUGCUGCGUAUCUCUUGUUUCAUUUGUCUGUCAAACUUCUGG
ensembl:lncRNA